rnacentral:rRNA from 1 species
GGUGAACGCUGGCGGUGGGCCUAACACAUGCAAGUCGAACGGCAGCACAGUAAGAGCUUGCUCUUACGGGUGGCGAGUGGCGGACGGGUGAGGAAUACAUCGGAAUCUUCUUUUUCGUGGGGGAUAACGUAGGGAAACUUACGCUAAUACCGCAUACGACCUACGGGUGAAAGCAGGGGAUCUUCGGACCUUGCGCGACUGAAUGAGCCGAUGUCGGAUUAGCUAGUUGGCGGGGUAAAGGCCCACCAAGGCGACGAUCCGUAGCUGGUCUGAGAGGAUGAUCAGCCACACUGGAACUGAGACACGGUCCAGACUCCUACGGGAGGCAGCAGUGGGGAAUAUUGGACAAUGGGCGCAAGCCUGAUCCAGCCAUACCGCGUGAGUGAAGAAGGCCUUCGGGUUGUAAAGCCCUUUUGUUGGGAAAGAAAAGCAGCAGGAUAAUACCCCGCUGUUCUGACGGUACCCAAAGAAUAAGCACCGGCUAACUUCGUG